rnacentral:lncRNA from 1 species
CAUCUUCCAAUCGGCCUGACCAGUGAUGAAGUGGACUUUUUUUUUCGGCGGAAUCCAUCGUCAACAUCGUCCAUCCACUACGUAAACGAAAUGGCGUGCCCAGAGUAUACAUCGUGACAGCGCUCCGCCUUCAAACCGAGGGCCUUUUGCAAGGCGCAUGGACGGCUCAUAUAAAAGUUAGUCAGCAUGAAGCAAUUGCAUGGGAACCGGCCGAUUGUCUUGGGCCUACACAUUGCUCAAAAGACAGUGAAGGUGUCUGAGCCGACAGGUAGAAAACAAGCAGAUGGCUACAGCGAUCAAUGAAGAAAUGGCUUCAUCUAUGAUGGCUCGCCUUAGGACAUUGGAAUGGAGCUACACAAAGGCAUCACCAGCCUCGCCUGUGCCCUGGAACAUUGGUUUGAAUAAGACUGUUCUUCAGUGUAGAACGACCACAAGACUUGUCACCACAUACAAGGCGUAGUGCAAGCUCUAAAUAUUGUACAGGUGGCUAGAAUAAAUGACCCUCCAUGCAGUCA